rnacentral:rRNA from 1 species
GACGAACGCUGGCGGCGUGCUUAACACAUGCAAGUCGAGCGGUAAGGCCCUUUCGGGGGUACACGAGCGGCGAACGGGUGAGUAACACGUGGGUGACCUGCCCUCAGCUCUGGGAUAAGCCUGGGAAACUGGGUCUAAUACUGGAUAUGACUCCACGGUGCAUGUCGUGGGGUGGAAAGCCUUGUGCGGCUGAGGAUGGGCCCGCGGCCUAUCAGCUUGUUGGUGGGGUGANGGCCUACCAAGGCGACGACGGGUAGCCGGCCUGAGAGGGCGACCGGCCACACUGGGACUGAGACACGGCCCAGACUCCUACGGGAGGCAGCAGUGGGGAAUCUUGCGCAAUGGGCGAAAGCCUGACGCAGCGACGCCGCGUGAGGGAUGACGGCCUCGGUUGUAACGUACUU